GGCGACGGACGGUGCAGAUACCCAAUUAUCGUAUUCGAGCUCCGAUCCCAGUCGUCUCCUCCGCCGCCUACUCUCCAGCGUCCGAUCUCCUCUCUUCCCCCCUCCCACAGCCCAUCGCCGCCGCCGCCUGCUCCUCCUCUUCUCCCUCCCUAGGCGCGCCUCGAUUACAAAAUCCUCCCUCCCUCUCUUUCCCUCUUUUUCUCAGUAUCGCGCCCAUGUCGGAAGUCCCGGCAAGUCCUACCGGCGGGGCCGGUGGCGGCGGUAGUCACGAGAGCGGCGGCGACCAGAGCCCCCGAUCCAGUGUCCGGGAGCAGGACCGCUUUCUCCCCAUCGCUAACAUCAGCAGGAUCAUGAAAAAGGCGCUUCCUGCCAACGCCAAGAUCGCCAAGGACGCUAAGGAGAUCAUCCAGGAGUGCGUCUCUGAAUUCAUCAGCUUCGUCACCAGCGAGGCUAGUGACAAAUGCCAGAGGGAGAAAAGGAAGACCAUUAAUGGCGACGAUCUGCUCUGGGCGAUGGCCACGCUGGGAUUCGAGGAUUAUAUUGAGCCACUGAAAUUGUAUUUGCAGAAGUACAGAGAGAUGGAGGGUGACAGUAAGGUGUCUGCCAAAGGUGGAGACAACUCUGUCAAGCAAGAUACAACGAGUUCUCACGGUGGAGUUCAGCCUGGUUCAGUCUCUCAAGGGAUAGGUCAUCAAGGAUCUUUUACACAAGGCAUGGGCUAUUUGCAACCUCAGGUACCAUUCUUUUUACUUGAUUUUUGAUAUACCAUUCCUUUUUUACUUGAUUUACAACUUGACUACUCAUGCCUUAGUUGUUCACUUAAGUUCAGAAAUACCAUUCUUGUUGUUUGGUUUUAAGACUGAUGUGCUUACAUGCAAUUCCAUAAGUUUUGAAUACUUAGGAAGAAAUUCAUUAUAAUUUGGCAGCUUAUGGUUGUAAAAGCAUAAAUAUGAUAACUUUUCAGUACGUUCAAAUUAGAGAAAUAUUUUCUUGCACAUUAAUUUAUUGUCAUUCUUUCAAAACUGUUGAUGUGGACCUCAUAUGCAUAUGCAGACUCAUUAUGUAUGCUUUACAACGAUUAAAUUAGAGAUUAUGUGGGUUAUAUUGUGCUUAUGUGGUCAUAUAUUAGGUUGAUCUUUAAUUUAUUCAUCUAGACCAAGCUAAUUUUUCAGUUUGAACCAAGCUACUAUGUGCGAGAAAAGAUUAAAUGCAAAAUUUUAUUUUUUGUUCAAUUUAAUAUAAAUCUAAAGAGCCAAUUAUUUGAGAUUAGAAGUGUUGUUUAGAGCUUGUAUUGAAUAAUUUAUAUUUUUUACAAGUUUGCUCCUUAACUUUUGAAGUUUAUUAUAGUCUAUUUUGCUUAUUGGUACCUUGGGAAGUUUGUACUCAUGCUGUCAUUCAUAGCAUAUGCGCAAUACAGUGAAGCAUGCUGCUUGCAUACACUUUUCAAGACCUUUGUAUACUCUCUGGAAAUGAUUGAUGUUUCAUUGACUCUUUUUCUUGCUUGAAUAUCUUCUUGAAAAUUGCUUACUUACCUAUAGAUUUUUUUUUUGGUUUCAUUAAUUUGCCUUUUUCCUUGAUUUGAAGGGAGACAUUUUUCCUUAGUUUAGGAAUAUUGUUAAACUUAUUUUUCCUUAAUUUCAGAAUAUUGUAAAACUUUUAUGAUUUUUCACCUAACCUUAGGAUUAAUUUUACGAUGCAACUGCUGUUUCUUUCAAGAAUAUUAACAUUCCUUGGCUUGAUAAUCCUUGAAUUUAACUAGUUUUCAAAUACAGUAUCAAGCAGUAUGCUGAGUGAUGCAAGGCUGAUGCAGUAUUUUUUGAGCUUUUGCUUACCUUUGUUGUUUUUUUCUCUCCAGAUAUUAUGUAGGCAUAUAGCAGGCAGUAGAGAAAUUUCAUCUUAUAUUAAUCACAUAGAUUCCCCGAUCUUAGAUUGUGUAGUUUAAGUGUAACUGAUCUGGCAUUUUAUGACAUUAAAUCAGUUGGUGUUGUUUCAUAUGUGAUUCUGAAUAAAGUCGACAUUUUUGCAAGGAUGAUGAUUAUAGACAUCCCAAGACUUGCCAAACAGAGAGGAUUACGUGAUGCUCGCUCGGCAUACCUAGAGACUGCUUGGCUUCAUGUUGUGCACAUUGUGUUGGUUGGUGUGCCAAGCUCAAUUUGGCUAGUACCUGGGUUGUGCUUAGGAUGACUCUUGCUAGGCUUGACCCACAAGCUGGGUUAGGCAUGGUCCUCUAACUCGGCUAGGUCCAACAUGAGUCUUGAACAAGAACCAAUCCUAUCGUCUAACUUCUUUUCCCAUAAAUUGCCUAAAAUACCCCAAAUAUAAAUAAUAAGAGCAUUUUAGUCAUUGUAUUAUCAAAAUAAUUAAAAUUCCUAAAAAACUCUCAUAAAUGCCUUCCAUCCAUCCACCUAUAUCCUCAUCUCUUCAUUCUCUUAUUUUUCUCACAUCUCUUCCUUGUUCUCCUCUCAUUUUCAGUUUAUAUCCUCACUUUCUCUAAAAUUCCUAGUUUCUAUUUUCAUAUUUUGCUGUUUAGUAGGAGCUAAAUCAACAUUGUGCGAGGAUGAUGAAGGAUUGUGGUCAUGUGGAGGCUCUACACUAUGGCUAUAAUGAAGCAUAUAGUUGCGCCACUUUUGUGUUAUAAUCCUCAAAUCUCAAGCAUAUCGUGGAUGGUGGCUAAAUGAGGACAAUGUAUUCGAAAAUCUCAAUCAGGGACAUGCUUGUUCUUUGUUGUUGGCCAGUUGAACCGAUGAUGUUUAAGCCCUUUACAGGAUGUUGAAGGCUAUUAAAUCAUCGAUCAAUCACUCCCAAUGGAUUAACAUCAGAUUCCAUAGACCAUGGACAUCCAAGGUUGUAAAAACAUAUAUAUUCAUCACUUGGCAACAUAUAAAGGAUAGGAGUUCGACAAUUGCAAAUUAGAAUGUAUAUCCAUUUAUUCAUGUGUUUGUGUUCAUUUGAAUUGUCUAAAUCUGUGCAAUUUUUAUAUCAUGUAAUUCUUUAGAUUAAUGUAAUAUUUUUAAUAUUUAGUUUUUUUCAACACGACUCAUUGACACCCCUAGAUAUCCAUCCUGUAUCAACAAAACAAGUGAAGGUGCCGAGUUAUUGAGUUGGUAAUGACCUAAGAAGUUAUUGUCAAGGUUUUAGGUUCAACAUCCAGCUUUACUGAAAUCGGGGUUUGUAUAUACAUAGACAAGGGGAAAAAAUGGGAAGUGAAGGGAUCAACCAGUGUCAUAGACUUAGAUAGUGUUUAAGUAGACUGAAGAAGGGGUCUAUCACAUGUAGAAAAUAUGACAUUAGACAUGUCAGCUGAGGUUCUAAAUAGCAUGCUCAUAUCUAAUAAAAAUAGAGUAUAAUUAGAAGAUAGAACCUUAAUAUAACGAACUAAUACUACAAGAGAAAAAGAAAUUCCAAGGUGCCGAAUAGAAAAAAUGGUUCCCUGGAUAUGCAAGAGGAGAAGACAUUGUAACAUUAAGAAUAGGCAAGUAAACACUAUUUGCAAGAUAACAAGAUGUGACUCCACCACAACCAUUUACAAGCUUCAACUUCUAAGAUAUAAUAGUUUUUGUUUUCAAUAACCUUUUCCUUGACAGUGUAUAUAACAUUAGUGAACAGAUAAAUCAUGCAUAGUGCAGGAUGUUUUUCGUUCAAUUGUCCUUAGAUGGAAAAUAAGAGAGAUAGAAAGAGAGGGAGAGGGGGAGAGAGAGAGGGAGAGGGAGAGGGAAAAAAGACUUGCAAAAUUAUACAUGGAGCUCAUUUUUUGUUACUUUCCUCUUCUCCCUCGUACUGAAUUGUAGGUAGAAUUAAGAAAGCUGGGCAUUUGGCUUACAAGGAGUUCUGUUUAUCAAAGCUUGGAAAUCAUCUUACAAUUGUAUUCACGUUGUUUGGAAGAUUCACCAUUGUCUUUUGCUGAUCCUUUACGCACGCUAGGGCACAUGUUAAACCAUAUAUGUUUUAUGCAUUUUCUUUUUUCAUUUUAAAUAUCCCUCAUUAUGUUUUCUGCUAAGAGAUGUUCAUGGGCAAUUCAAAUUUUCUGAUUGCUAUUUUUCUGUGGUGCAGUGACUGGAUCUGAACCUCGUAACAUCUUGAAGUGUGACUUUUAGGCGGAAAAGCUUCGUUGCUUCAUGUUAUCACUAAGCUUUGUAUUUGAUGCUUUAGAUUGUAAAGUAGUAUGAGUUGUAUCAGUCUAAAUUGUGUACGAAAUUCAUCUUUGUUACACUUGCUGAAUUUUAGGUGGCAACACAUUGCGUUGAAUGAGCCUGUUUCAUUCUUACU